ensembl:lncRNA
CGGAGGAGGCCGCCCGCCCAGGCAAAGCCGGCGCAGGCUCAGCCCCCCAGGCUGGUAGCGGGACCAGGCAGCUGGGAGGGCGUGGGAGAGCCUGGAGGCGGGGUCGAAGGUCAGGGUCUCUUCCAAGCCGCCUAGGCCUUCUCAGAUGGAAAUGGCCCGGUCGUCAUGUCCUUGGAACAAGCAGGCCUUGUCUGUGCCACUAACAGACUGUGACAGGUGGCCAGAGAUACAGCUGGAGGGAUGGUCAGGAACGAGGGAGCUCAGACGCCCUCAAUCCUUUGCCACCACAGGAGCUCCAUAUUUUAGAUUGCCUCACAUUCUGGAAGGAUGGAGCCGAAUGACUAGAAGUUUCUAUAUGAAGGUACCAUUCUUCCUGCAUGUGUAACAGAAGAAUAAAGGUUUCAAGUCCCCGAGAUGUUUCCCGCCCUCAGAAGUACAGACGACCUCACACUCAAGAAAGCGAACUGUAUCAAGGUCAAAAAAUACUAUUCCAAAACGAUUCAGAAGUUCCUCCAAAAGCUAAACGUAGAGUUACCAUGUGAACCAGCGAUUCCACUCCUAGGUGGAGACCCAAGACAAAUGAGAACAUUGAGGCCACGCAAAAGCUUGUCCAUUCGUGUUCAUAGCAGCGUGGUUGAGCAUAGUCAAAAAGCAGAAACAACCCCAAUGUCCAUCAACUGGGAAUAGAUGAACAUAAUGUAUAGUGCAUCCAUACGAUGGGAAAUUAUUUGGCCCCCCAAAUUAAUGAAAUACUGAUACAUGCUAUAACUCGUAUGACCCUUGAAAAUAGGCUCAGUGAAAGAAGCCAGGCAUGAAAGACCACGUAUUGAAUGUUCCAUUUAUAGGCAAUGUCCAGAAUAGACAGAUCCAUAGAGACAGAAACUUAUUAGUGGUUGCUGGGGGUGGCAGGAAUGACGAGUCACUGUUAGUGAGCAGGGGGGUUUCUUUUGGGAGUGACAAAAAUGUUCUGGAAUUAGAUUGUGGUGAUGGUUGCGCAAUCUGGUGGCUAUACUAAAAACCACUGAAUUGGACACUUUAUAAGGGUGAAUUUUAUGGCACGUGAAUUAUAUCCCAAUAAAAAAAUAAUGUAC